GAUGAACGCUGGCGGCGUGCUUAACACAUGCAAGUCGAACGGGAUCCAUCGGGCUUUGCUUGGUGGUGAGAGUGGCGAACGGGUGAGUAAUGCGUGACCGACCUGCCCCAUGCUCCGGAAUAGCUCCUGGAAACGGGUGGUAAUGCCGGAUGUUCCACAUGAUCGCAUGUGAUUGUGGGAAAGAUUCUAUCGGCGUGGGAUGGGGUCGCGUCCUAUCAGCUUGUUGGUGAGGUAACGGCUCACCAAGGCUUCGACGGGUAGCCGGCCUGAGAGGGCGACCGGCCACAUUGGGACUGAGAUACGGCCCAGACUCCUACGGGAGGCAGCAGUGGGGAAUAUUGCACAAUGGGCGCAAGCCUGAUGCAGCGACGCCGCGUGAGGGAUGGAGGCCUUCGGGUUGUAAACCUCUUUUGUUUGGGAGCAAGCCUUCGGGUGAGUGU
rnacentral:rRNA from 1 species